rnacentral:rRNA from 1 species
UACAGAGGUCUCAAGCGUUGUUCGGAUUCAUUGGGCGUAAAGGGUGCGUAGGCGGCGCGGUAAGUCGGGUGUGAAAUCUUGGGAGCUUAACUCCGAAACUGCAUUCGAUACUGCCGUGCUUGAGGACUGGAGAGGAGACUGGAAUUUACGGUGUAGCGGUGAAAUGCGUAGAUAUCGUAAGGAAGACCAGUGGCGAAGGCGGGUCUCU